GAUCUUAUAUCUUCAUCAAGACUCAAGUUUAAGAAUUAUUCAUAGGGAUUUAAAAUGCAGCAACAUUCUACUAGAUAGUGAAAUGAAUCCAAAAAUUUCUGACUUUGGUAUGGCCAGAUUAUUCAUAAAUGACCAAAUUCAGAACAAGACAAAUCGAGUUGUUGGAACAUACGGCUAUAUGUCACCAGAAUAUGCAGUAUUUGGAAAAUUUUCAAUAAAAUCUGAUGUGUUUAGCUUUGGGGUGAUAUUGUUGGAGAUUAUAAGUGGCAAGAAGAGCACUGGUUUUAACAUGGAGGAUGCUUCCCUAAGCUUGAUAGGACAUGUCUGGGAACUAUGGAGUGAAGGCAGGGCACUGGAACUCAUAGAUUCAUCAUUAGAGGAGUCUUAUAUUCCUCAUGAAGUUUCGAGAUGCAUUCAAAUCGGACUCUUA
rnacentral:misc_RNA from 1 species